rnacentral:lncRNA from 1 species
UUUUUUACUCACCCACUAACUCACUCAUCUUUCUCUACCCACCCAUAAAAGAUCACACACGUUACAAUAUUUCGGUGGCUCAAAAAAAGAAAAAGAAAAUAAAAAGACAAAAACUCUUGUCGCACCAACUCUGUCCACAACCGCUCCGCCACGCAUCUACCUUCUUUCGCACCCUCCCUCACCUCGCCUCCUUCUUCCUCCAACAGGCGCCGCCAAGAAGCCCACCCUCCACCGCGAGAACUAAUCCACUGUCAC